CGACCGCUGGCGGCGUGCUUAACACAUGCAAGUCGAACGGAAAGGCCUCUUUCGGGGGGUACUCGAGUGGCGAACGGGUGAGUAACACGUGAGUAACCUGCCCUUGACUUUGGGAUAACUUCAGGAAACUGGGGCUAAUACCGGAUAGGAGCUCCUGCUGCAUGGUGGGGGUUGGAAAGUUUCGGCGGUUGGGGAUGGACUCGCGGCUUAUCAGCUUGUUGGUGGGGUAGUGGCUUACCAAGGCUUUGACGGGUAGCCGGCCUGAGAGGGUGACCGGCCACAUUGGGACUGAGAUACGGCCCAGACUCCUACGGGAGGCAGCAGUGGGGAAUAUUGCACAAUGGGUGGAAGCCUGAUGCAGCAACGCCGUGUGCGGGAUGACGGCCUUCGGGUUGUAAACCGCUUUCGCUCAUGACGAAGCUUUGUGUGACGGUAGUGGGUAAAGAAGCACCGGCUAACUACGUG
rnacentral:rRNA from 1 species